AGUGUGCUCUGCCUCCGAGGAAAAGCUGCCAAAAUUUUCUCCUGCUGCAAUUCAAGUUGGCUGGGGGCCGGUAGUGAGAUCUAGGGCUACUUCAACAAAACUUUGCUGCCCUUCCUGCUCCUCUUGUCUUCUUUUCUCCUGAUACCUUUUGAUGCUCUGCACAUGUUAUUUGCAUAGCAAAGGCACUAAGCUUUCCAGGAAGAGAGGGCACCACUUCCACCCCCAAUAAGUCUUUUUUCCCGUCUUUUCUUUCUUUUCCUUUCCUUUUUUGGGGGGUGGGGAGGGAGAGAAAGGGGGUUUGCAAAGGCAGCAUCUCAGAGUGAUAGCCUAGAUGUAUUGAAGGCAUCUCUUAUUCUGCCAAAUCGGAAAGUCAGUUCUCUAAAGCCCGGGUUAGCCAGACCAUAGGGUUUUAUUCUGGCUGCAGAAUAACUGGCUGGUGUGGCUUUGCAAAGGGGGGCAAAAAAUAAAAAAAUAAAAAAAAUUAAAAAAAGUUAGAGAGGAGAGGGAGUACGUGAGUCGUCCAGUGCAAUCUCUAUUGUCUGAAACUUACUUUUUAUCAGAAUUUGAAGAUGAAAACGGUUAAAAAAUGGCCAUACUUUAGUAACUAAUCAGCCUAAUGCUUUGCUUAUGAAAACUUUUACCAUCAUUAUUUUUUUCAUUUUGGAUUGAGAAAAUGAAUCCAGAUAUAGAAGAAAGUGCAGGAUGUUGGAUAAAAGUGGCUCUUAAACAGUGGAACAUCCAAUAACUAAUUUGCAAGAAGUUUUAAAGAAAUAAAAUUGUUAUGCUUCGAUUUUGGUAUGGUAUUGACUCUUUAGCACAUAGGUAGCCCUCAAAAAAAUCAUCCAGUUUUCUAAAUUAUGGAAAUUUUGUGGAAGACGUUGACCUGGAUUUUGAGCCUCAUCAUGGCUUCAUCGGAAUUUCAUAGUGACCACAGGCUUUCAUACAGUUCUCAAGAGGAAUUCCUGACUUAUCUUGAACACUACCAGCUAACUAUUCCAAUAAGGGUUGAUCAAAAUGGAGCAUUUCUCAGCUUUACUGUGAAAAAUGAUAAACACUCAAGGAGAAGACGGAGUAUGGACCCUAUUGAUCCACAGCAGGCAGUAUCUAAGUUAUUUUUUAAACUUUCAGCCUAUGGCAAGCACUUUCAUCUAAACUUGACUCUCAACACAGAUUUUGUGUCCAAACAUUUUACAGUAGAAUAUUGGGGGAAAGAUGGACCCCAGUGGAAACAUGAUUUUUUAGACAACUGUCAUUACACAGGAUAUUUGCAAGAUCAACGUAGUACAACUAAAGUGGCUUUAAGCAACUGUGUUGGGUUGCAUGGUGUUAUUGCUACAGAAGAUGAAGAGUAUUUUAUCGAACCUUUAAAGAAUACCACAGAGGAUUCCAAGCAUUUUAGUUAUGAAAAUGGCCACCCUCAUGUUAUUUACAAAAAGUCUGCCCUUCAACAACGACAUCUGUAUGAUCACUCUCAUUGUGGGGUUUCGGAUUUCACAAGAAGUGGCAAACCUUGGUGGCUGAAUGACACAUCCACUGUUUCUUAUUCACUACCAAUUAACAACACACAUAUCCACCACAGACAGAAGAGAUCAGUGAGCAUUGAACGGUUUGUGGAGACAUUGGUAGUGGCAGACAAAAUGAUGGUGGGCUACCAUGGCCGCAAAGACAUUGAACAUUACAUUUUGAGUGUGAUGAAUAUUGUCAGGUUGCCAAACUUUACCGUGAUUCCAGCCUAGGAAACGUUGUGAAUAUUAUAGUGGCCCGCUUAAUUGUUCUCACAGAAGAUCAGCCAAACUUGGAGAUAAACCACCAUGCAGACAAGUCCCUCGAUAGCUUCUGUAAAUGGCAGAAAUCCAUUCUCUCCCACCAAAGUGAUGGAAACACCAUUCCAGAAAAUGGGAUUGCCCACCACGAUAAUGCAGUUCUUAUUACUAGAUAUGAUAUCUGCACUUAUAAAAAUAAGCCCUGUGGAACACUGGGCUUGGCCUCUGUGGCUGGAAUGUGUGAGCCUGAAAGGAGCUGCAGCAUUAAUGAAGACAUUGGCCUGGGUUCAGCUUUUACCAUUGCACAUGAGAUUGGUCACAAUUUUGGUAUGAACCAUGAUGGAAUUGGAAAUUCUUGUGGGACGAAAGGUCAUGAAGCAGCAAAACUUAUGGCAGCUCACAUUACUGCGAAUACCAAUCCUUUUUCCUGGUCUGCUUGCAGUCGAGACUACAUCACCAGCUUUCUAGAAUUUCUUAAACUCGGUGAUUCAAUAAGUGGUUCAUGAAUCGCCCAGAAGCCGUCCUGAUUAAAUAAUAAAGAACCCAUUUCCGUUAAAAUGGACGUGUUAUGCCAGCUUCUGAUGUUUUCCGGCGACGGCUUUGCAGUUCAGGCCGUGGUACUUGCCUUGAUAAUGAGCCUCCCAAGCGUGACUUUCUUUAUCCAGCUGUGGCCCCAGGUCAGGUGUAUGAUGCUGAUGAGCAAUGUCGUUUCCAGUAUGGAGCAACCUCCCGCCAAUGUAAAUAUGGGUGUGUAGAGAGCUCUGGUGUCUCAGCAAAAGCAACCGCUGUGUCACCAACAGUAUUCCAGCAGCUGAGGGGACACUGUGUCAAACUGGGAAUAUUGAAAAAGGGUGGUGUUAUCAGGGAGAUUGUGUUCCUUUUGGCACUUGGCCCCAGAGCAUAGAUGGGGGCUGGGGUCCCUGGUCACUAUGGGGAGAGUGCAGCAGGACCUGCGGGGGAGGCGUCUCCUCAUCCCUAAGACACUGUGACAGUCCAGCGUAAGUAGCUAAAACCUUCAGGAGGUGGAAAAUAUUGCCUUGGGGAAAGGAAACGGUAUCGCUCCUGUAACACAGAUCCAUGCCCUUUGGGUUCCCGAGAUUUUCGAGAGAAACAGUGUGCAGACUUUGACAAUAUGCCUUUCCGAGGAAAGUAUUAUAACUGGAAACCCUAUACUGGAGGUGGGGUAAAACCUUGUGCAUUAAACUGCUUGGCUGAAGGUUAUAAUUUCUACACUGAACGUGCUCCUGCGGUGAUCGAUGGGACCCAGUGCAAUGCGGAUUCACUGGAUAUCUGCAUCAAUGGAGAAUGCAAGCACGUAGGCUGUGAUAAUAUUUUGGGAUCUGAUGCUAGGGAAGAUAGAUGUCGAGUCUGUGGAGGGGACGGAAGCACAUGUGAUGCCAUUGAAGGGUUCUUCAAUGAUUCACUGCCCAGGGGAGGCUACAUGGAAGUGGUGCAGAUACCAAGAGGCUCUGUUCACAUUGAAGUUAGAGAAGUUGCCAUGUCAAAGAACUAUAUUGCUUUAAAAUCUGAAGGAGAUGAUUACUAUAUUAAUGGUGCCUGGACUAUUGACUGGCCUAGGAAAUUUGAUGUUGCUGGGACAGCUUUUCAUUACAAGAGACCAACUGAUGAACCAGAAUCCUUGGAAGCUCUAGGUCCUACCUCAGAAAAUCUCAUCGUCAUGGUUCUGCUUCAAGAACAGAAUUUGGGAAUUAGGUAUAAGUUCAAUGUUCCCAUCACUCGAACUGGCAGUGGAGAUAAUGAAGUUGGCUUUACAUGGAAUCAUCAGCCUUGGUCAGAAUGCUCAGCUACUUGUGCUGGAGGUGUCCAAAGACAGGAGGUGGUCUGUAAAAGGUUGGAUGACAACUCCAUUGUCCAGAACAAUUACUGUGAUCCUGACAGUAAGCCACCUGAAAAUCAAAGAGCCUGCAACACUGAGCCCUGCCCACCUGAGUGGUUCAUUGGGGAUUGGUUGGAAUGCAGCAAGACUUGUGAUGGUGGGAUGCGCACAAGGGCAGUGCUCUGCAUCAGGAAGAUCGGACCUUCUGAGGAGGAGACGCUGGACUACAGUGGUUGUUUAACACACCGGCCUGUCGAAAAAGAGCCCUGCAACAACCAGUCAUGUCCACCACAGUGGGUGGCUUUGGACUGGUCUGAGUGUACUCCAAAAUGUGGUCCAGGAUUCAAGCAUCGGAUUGUUCUGUGCAAGAGCAGUGACCUUUCUAAGACAUUCCCAGCUGCACAAUGUCCAGAGGAAAGCAAACCUCCUGUCCGCAUCCGCUGCAGUUUGGGCCGCUGCCCUCCUCCUCGCUGGGUCACAGGAGACUGGGGCCAGUGUUCUGCUCAGUGUGGCCUUGGACAGCAGAUGAGAACUGUGCAGUGUCUCUCCUACACCGGACAGGCAUCUAGUGACUGUCUAGAAACUGUUCGGCCUCCAUCAAUGCAGCAGUGUGAAAGCAAAUGUGACAGUACCCCCAUUUCUAAUACUGAAGAGUGCAAAGAUGUGAAUAAAGUGGCUUAUUGCCCACUGGUGCUGAAGUUCAAGUUCUGCAGUCGAGCAUACUUCAGACAGAUGUGUUGUAAGACCUGCCAAGGACACUGACCCACAGAAAGCCAGAGAGAGUGCCUUGUCAUUUCAUCAUGGAAAUGCAUCCAUCAAAGAGAGCCACCCAGAGGAAGAGGAUUGAUGUCCUUGCAAAUGCAUUACCCUGUGGAAAACGUAACCACUGGUCAGCCCUAGCUGACAAAAUUUCAAUAUUAUUUUAGCUUCUGUGAAGUGGGAUUUAUUGAUCCAAAGUGCUGGACACGGUAUUAGGAGGGAAUGCCAGAUUGGAGAGAUCCAAACAACACAGGGAGACUUGCUUACUGUGGAGCGUUUGUGUUCUUUCGAGUAAAUCCAAUAGCCUGUUUACCUCCUUGGACCAUUAAGAUAAUUUUUAUUAUGGACUUAGCAAUGACACUGAAUCCAUUUGUAUUUAAAACUGUUUAAAAUGUAGCUGUUAUGACUUGGUCAACUAUGGAAGUGAAGAAGGUUCAGAAUUCUUAAGUCAUAGCUUAAAAAUAUUUACUGUACUUUAUCUCACUACAACAGCACCACAAUUUAAAUUAUAAAACGGGCUUUGAACUAUAAUUUAAGGAGCAAUUAUAAAUCAAAAGUAAUGAAAGUUUGUAUUAUUUUUCUUCAUUCCACUUAAUUUCCUUAGGAAUAAUCCCCUGGUUCUGAACACUGCUGUGAGCCAUAUAUAAAACUAUAUUAAACUGAACAAUAAUGAGGGGCAUAGUUUAAAGCAGUGCAUCAGUUACUGCAGCUGUGCAAGUCUAUAAACUCAGUGCUGAAAGACUGUGGCCAACUUGCCAUUGUGCAAGUAAAGCUGAGAUUUCCAUUAAAACUUUAAGAGAAAAACAUUUCAAUUUCAUGCAGAAACCAGACCUGGGGUAUGGUACAGACCAAAGGACCAGGCCCUUUGCUGCCACCACACAGGAUGCCUUAGUUCUUAUUUGAGUCCCUCCAACUCACUUGUGUUUACAUCCUCCCCAGCCACAGCACGGCUUCUGCCCUUUGGAUUGCUGCACGUGUGUUGAGCUUACUGAGAUGAUACCAUGCAAAAGAUAGACUGGCUCGGUAACCAGGCAGACCCUUUUGCAGUUUGUUGACAAUUACGAUGAGUUCCAGAUGUCCCUUCUUUGAUAUGGUAGAAGGGCAUUUAUUUAUAUGAGAGCAAAUGUGUGUGUGUGUUUGCGGGCGCUUUUAAGUGUGUGGAUAGAUGAGUGUGCUUGCACAUAAUGUGCUAUUUCUGUGAGUUUUAAAGUAGGCAAGGGAUAAUAACCAAAGAAGAAAAUUUCAUGAAGACUAGACAUCAUAAAGCAUAAUUUUAAUAGUCACUCAACCAAGUAUUUUUUAUUUUUUAUGGAUACUCUGAAUGGCAAUUAAAUGUGAAACCCAGUUUCUUGGGCAAGUCAAAUUCUGGAAUCACAUCCACCUAAAUUAAAAUGACUAGCUCGUAUUUUCCCCAUCUUCAAGUUUCACAUCCUGGUCAUCAAAAGACUCGACAGCAAGACUUAGAAUGAAAAAGGGUACUUGUUUAUAUUAAUAUUUUUUACUUGAACACGUGUAGCUUGCAGCAGGUUCUUGAUGAAUGUGCUUUGUGUCCAAAAUGCCUCCCCAUUGUACACAGGUGUACACCAUGCAUGCACCAACACCUAAAACUCAAAACUAAAUGGCUAUUUUGUAAGGUUAAUACUUUCAGUUAAACAGCAUGUUUGACUUGAUUCCAUCAUGGUGCUCUUAAAUUACAUGUCAGUGCAUCACAUAUAUCAUGAUCUAAUGCAGAUGACUAGGCUUUUUCCAAAAGGAAGACAGACCCUCAGACACCAAAAGCCAAUCUAAACAACUCCCAGGUUUGCUGUGGACAAUCAGCAUGGAAUGUUUUCUGCACUCUCAGUCAUGACCAUCUGUAUCUUGUUACCUGCUUUCUCUCUCAACACCACAGUUCUCAACCCUGAGCCUUCCAGAGAGAGCUAUUGAUGAUACAAGAGGAAUCACCAGGGCCCGGAUCUAAGAUGCCCUUAGAAGACCAGCCCAAGUGCCGUCUUAGCCAUUCAGUGAAGGGCAAACAGCCCAUGGGUAGUAUGGCCCGAGCACUGAAUUCCCUUGCGCCUUUUCAAAGAACAGUUAACUUGGUGCUAAUGUGCCCUGGUGAAAUAAAUAAAAGAUGGGCAGUUUCUGUGGCAUUUUAGGCAUAGGUUUGCAAUCCAGAUCUGAUUUUCUCCAACAUAAAUAUCAGCUCAUGUUCUUAUUUCAAAAAGAUUUCUUAUUACCGACUAAAAGCUAUUUUUUACCUCACCUGGAAACUACCAUUGUGAGGGCCAUCCCCCAGGCACUGCACAGCACCUUGGCUGAUGCUGGAAGAGGAGGGCAGUCAGUGUCACUUCUGGGAUGUGCCCCAGCACUGAGAACAAAAUGCAGGCAUCCCCCGGGGCAGCAUCAGAGUGCCUUUCUAGAGGGAGCCACGCACAGAAUGUAACAGGAUGAAACAGUUUCAAGUAAGCCUUGAAUUGAAACCUGAGUAGGUUAAAACAAUUCUAUUUCAUAGCACAUCACAAUACUGCUGCUACUCUGUAGCCACCCCCAUGGCUACAUGAUGCCCUAUUCCUAAAUAAUAACAAUAGCAUUGUCAGUGGAGGCUGGGCCACCAUGGCAGACCUUCCAAAAGUAGUGAGCUACAUAGACUACUUAGGGAACCCCAGGGAAACUGGUACCCUACACCUGGGAGCAGUAUCUGCCACUGGGAUAAAGUCCUACUAAAAAAGGAACGGUAAAUGUACCCUAAUGAUUAAACCCCGUGAGAUACAUAUGAUUUCCAAAUAGUCCAUUUCAUUAGGAACUUUUUUGUUUGAAUGAAUGUCACAUAGGUAUCCUCAGUAACACAGAACGAAAUUACCUUUGUAUUAUUGUGAUUAGUUGUUGCUUAUUAUUUUAUACUCAGUAAUAAUGUGGUACACUGUUAAUUUUUUUGCUUUUGUAAAUUAUAUUCUAAUUUAUUGCCAUGUUUCCUAACACUUGUCCUACAUUCAUUCUCCUGCUUGUAAUGAAAAUGAAAAAAUCAUUGUAACACUUGAUGGAGUGAAAUUCCACGCCAGGCACAGAAUUUUUUUGACAUAGAUAAUUUAGUAAAAUAAAAAUUCAGCUUAUAAUAAUGA